GGUCGUAUGGAAAUUCUUCGGCAGACGGCAGAUAUCAGGUUCAUCCCGUGCGACGCCGCUUCUACGCGCGACGCCGACGUCUCGAACGCGCCGCAAACGUAGACGACGGCAUUCCACGGCGCUGCGAAGCCAGCGAAGCGUCUUCGGCAUCGACACCGGACUCCGGACUCAAAAGAGAAGAACGCACUCGGCGACGGAACUCCGCCGCUCCCAACACGGAUUGAUAGGUGCCAAUGCGGUUGCUGCAUGCCGAUGGAGAUCGUCGUCAGGUUGUCUGCCGCCGGGUGUACCCUGCCGCCGUACGCAAGCAGCAGGGCCGGCGCGCUGCGUGACGAGCCACUUGGAUUUCGACUCGCUGUGCCUCAGCCGGGUGUGCUAUGACUCGCUUUACACAAUAGACGCCACUAUGGGCAGAAGAAAAUGCGGGGCGACAAGGAACAACUGCGAGCCGAGGAUGAGGACUCCUCCAGCGACACGGAGUCGGAGUUGGGCUUCGGUCCGUCGUCGAUUGAGAUCCUGGCCCUCAAUGACCCUGCAGUGACCGUAUGUCUACCGCCCUCGAGUUGGUGAUGGAGCAUUUAGCAGCCGUCACGGGCGGGACCGGCGGCCAGCGGCAGCGCGAGCCAGAGGAACUCGACGACCGCAAGUUCGUCGCCGACUUCGUGGUGGUGCUGGGCGUCUACGCAAGAGCGUCGAGCGCCUCGGACGCGUAGCGCCUCGGAUGCCUACGUGCUGAAGCGGAUCUUCCCACUUGCCUUGCCGGCGAGUGCGAGACGAUGGUCCUUCCCACUCAGGACGAAGAUGCAUUGGUGCGAAUAACUGGCAUUGUGGCCGACUGAUGUUGGGGAGCUCCAUCUACAGGUGUGUGAGAAACUUGCAAAACAAAGGGUAGGCCGCACCGAGAGCAACGGUGCUUCUGGUACGCUGCCUAUAGGCAGUGGAUGCUAUGGUUGUGACUGCGACUGGGGCAGAGCAACAGGCGACCACUUGCCUGUAUGGUGAAAACAAUGGGGAACUGACCGCCAGCGACACAUUUUCCGGGUUCCCGUGCCCUGAUUGUGCGACUGAAUAAAAGUGUUUUUCUUAUACUGGGUAUAGAACCAUGUUUUUCUCACCACAAAAGUAAACAUUG
rnacentral:lncRNA from 1 species